rnacentral:rRNA from 1 species
UACGUAGGGUGCAAGCGUUGUCCGGAAUUAUUGGGCGUAAAGAGCUCGUAGGCGGUUUGUUGCGUCGGCUGUGAAAUCCCGAGGCUCAACCUCGGGUCUGCAGUCGAUACGAGCAAACUAGAGUGUUGCAGGGGAGACUGGAAUUCCUGGUGUAGCGGUGAAAUGCGUAGAUAUCGUAAGGAAGACCAGUGGCGAAGGCGGGUCUCUGGACAGUUCCUGACGCUGAGGAACGAAAGCGUGGGGAGCGAACAGG